UCGCGAAUCAGAAUGUCGCGGUGAAUACGUUCCCGGGCCCGUUGUACACACCGCCCGUCACACCAUGAGAGUCGAUAACACCCGAAGCCUGUGAGCUAACCUUUUAGGAGGCAGCAGUCGAAGGUGGGGUUGAUGAUUGGGGUGAAGUCGUAACAAGGUACC
rnacentral:rRNA from 1 species